UGUAACGGGGCUUGGGUGAAUGUAUAAAAAGAAGAGACUUUUUUGGCUUAUUGAUCAAUGAAAUACAUAGAAUCUUUACUUGAGACUUGACAUUUUAUACUCAAGCUAUAACGAAGUAUACAAUGAGAGAGGGAAAUAAUUAACCUGAGAAUCUCACUAUGAUAUAUAUAUUUUUUGUUUUUUUUUGUGUGUGAGAAAGUAGAUAAGGAUCUCAUGAUAUUCAUAGCAAUCACUAUUCAUUCUGUCAUUCCUUUUUUGUUUUUUGUCUUCUUCUUCUUCUUUUUUUUUUGAUAAAGUUAGCUUGAGUGUAAUGCAUUUCAAGUUAGGAGAUCAAUGUAAAUCCUUUGAUCCAGAUACAAAAAUAGGAAAUCAACAAAAAAUGGU
rnacentral:lncRNA from 1 species